rnacentral:lncRNA from 1 species
AGAUCUUGGCAAUAAUUUUGGAGGAGUGUUUCAAUAAUGCUUGCUCUUAUUUACAAGCAUAGCUUAGCACUUCAAACAUUUUAAAACAGAUUUAGAAAUUUAAUGUAUUUAUUUUUUAAGUACUUUGGUUUUUCUGACCACAAGCAAAAUCAUCCCAAAUUUUAAACUCUUAUAGAAGUGAAUAAAUUUAACUUAAAAGAUAAAUCUAGGUGCUCUUAAAUGUUUUUAUACUCUACUUAAACUUAGAUGUCACCAUUAAAAAAAUCACAAGUCUAAAUUAAUUCUCAAUUAUACAUUUUAAAGUGGAGUUGUAAUAUUUCUACCCUUAAAUCUAAACCUUCCUGAAGUGUUGGUGAGAUAUUGUCUCUCAGUUUCGAGCCUUUUCCUUUUUUUGUGAUGCUGUGGCUGGGAUUCUGCAAACCACAUUGCUGCUUUGUCAGCUGGGUCCCUGGUAGGUUCUGCCAAUGGAGGGCGCUAGAGGGAGCCUGGGGGACUGGUGGAGGGAGAGGAGUUGGGCUCAUCCUGUCUUUGUCCACAUCACCUAGCAUAGACAGCUGGGUCCAGCAGCAGUGUUGAGUUACUGUUUGCAGUUUAUCCACAUUCCCAGAACCAGCCUCAACAUCUCCCCUUAGAGAUACAAGCACUGUCCAGCCUGGGACCCCUCCUCAGAAUUCUGAAGCCCUCUGGGGCCCCUCCUCUAACUUUUUAAAUUUCAAUAACCCCUAA